CAUGAAGAGGUCGACCAGCAAAACCAAAGAGUGCACACUCAAUGCUGAUGAUGGUUAUGUGAGGAUGUUCAUAC